rnacentral:rRNA from 2 species
UAGGGAAUCUUCGGCAAUGGACGCAAGUCUGACCGAGCAACGCCGCGUGAGUGAAGAAGGUUUUCGGAUCGUAAAACUCUGUUGUUAGAGAAGAACAAGGAUGAGAGUAAAAUGUUCAUCCCUUGACGGUAUCUAACCAGAAAGCCACGGCUAACUACGUGCCAGCAGCCGCGGUAAUACGUAGGUGGCAAGCGUUGUCCGGAUUUAUUGGGCGUAAAGCGAGCGCAGGCGGUUUCUUAAGUCUGAUGUGAAAGCCCCCGGCUCAACCGGGGAGGGUCAUUGGAAACUGGGAAACUUGAGUGCAGAAGAGGAGAGUGGAAUUCCAUGUGUAGCGGUGAAAUGCGUAGAUAUAUGGAGGAACACCAGUGGCGAAGGCGGCUCUCUGGUCUGUAACUGACGCUGAGGCUCGAAAGCGUGGGGAGCAAACAGG